GAUUGCCCAGAGCGGAUGACAGCUUCUGUGCAGUCGGACGAGGAAGGAGUCAAGAAGCCCCCACCCUUUGAGCUGCAGUUUUACAAAGCUCUGGAAAUUCUUAGCGUGGCGUAAUUACGCACUUGCAAUAGCUGACGGGUUCGUCCUAGCUAGAUUUAGGGUAGCGCUUGCCUUGAGUUCGACUACCCCGAACUUACGGUCAAAAAGCAAGAAUAACGUAAGUUGAAGUGUUUUAGUAUGGCCAUUAAAAGUUGGAGACAAAGAAGUGUAGGAGGGUCGGUUGGAUAGAGAAUGGCAUAAUUUCUUGACAUUCAAAGCGACCACACAAGCCGCAGUGCCGACCUGGUAAUGUUGUAGUGUCAACAUCAAAGAAGUCACUGCUGCGUUCAAGAGACUUUGCAAAGUUAACCCGACAGCGGUGUGCCGAUGAACGCUGCCCAACGCUAUUAACUUUUGCAACGGCUGCCCUGGGUGUUGGUGAAUAUCAUGUAGGGGACCUGGAAAGAUGGAGUCAGGUUUACUCUGCAAGUUAGUGAGACAGAAGAGAGCAAAGCAUGAUGACAUUACAGCAAGAGGAGCACUACAGUGAAAUCGUUCAUGUAAGACAAACUAUGGGGAAUUUUGAAUGUGAAAACCCCAUUUUAAUACAGUAGAAUUCUUCAAAUGUUUAUUACAAACUUCAUUGGGUUUAUCGUAGGUUUUUAUACACAUUCAACGAGAUUCCAAAUGUAAUCUUUAUUGUUGUUCCCUAAGAAAUGCUUUAUUUGGAUAUAGUCUUGACAUGUCAAGUAAGGCAUCCUAAAAUUGUUUGAGUAGACCCAGCAAGCAUGUGAACCUUGUCUUUGCUUUGAGAUGCUCUUAUAAGGAUAAGGAAAUAUGUUUGGGAUGUCUCCAGUGGGGUUGAACCCCUGACAUUAUGUUGGGAGAUUCCCUAGAUGUAUGUACCACACAUAUGCAUUACAGUAUUUAUUGUACAGUGCCCAGCAUACCGUCAUUUGCAUAUAAUAUUGUUUAUAUAGUAUUCCAGGGACAAUUUAGAUUUUUUACAUUAUUAAUAACAAUGACCACAAAUGAGGAGAAACACACCAUUAUAUGAAGGUUGUAUACCAUGAGUAACACAGUGUUAUUUAUGUUUUUGUGCUAAAUAAAUAAAAGCAAACACUUCUGGAACCAACUUGUCAUAUCUUGUGUGGGAACUGUACUGCUUGCAUGACAACUGUUCUGUAACUGCUCCUGUCAUUGGUCAAUAAUGGUGUAUUUAUACUAGAUGGUUUUAAAAAAAAAA